UACGUAGGGCGCAAGCGUUGUCCGGAAUUAUUGGGCGUAAAGAGCUCGUAGGCGGUUUGUCGCGUCUGCUGUGAAAACCUGAGGCUCAACCUCGGGCUUGCAGUGGGUACGGGCAGACUAGAGUGCGGUAGGGGUGACUGGAAUUCCUGGUGUAGCGGUGGAAUGCGCAGAUAUCAGGAGGAACACCGAUGGCGAAGGCAGGUCACUGGGCCGCAACUGACGCUGAGGAGCGAAAGCAUGGGGAGCAAACAGG
rnacentral:rRNA from 1 species